GAUGAAGAACGUAGCGAAAUGCGAUAAGUAAUGUGAAUUGCAGAAUUCAGUGAAUCAUCGAAUCUUUGAACGCACAUUGCGCCCCCCAGUAUUCUGGCGGGCAUGCCUGUUCGAGCGUCAUUACAACCCUCAGGCCCCCGGGCCUGGCGUUGGGGAUCGGCGGAGCCCCCCGUGGGCACACGCCGUCCCCCAAAUACAGUGGCGGUCCCGCCGCAGCUUCCAUCGCGUAGUAGCUAACACCUCGCGACUGGAGAGCGGCGCGGCCACGCCGUAAAACACCCAACUCUUCUGAAGUUGACCUCGAAUCAGGUAGGAAUACCCGCUGAACUUAAGCAUAUCAAUAAGCGGAGGA
rnacentral:misc_RNA from 1 species